UAUAACUUUUUUCUUAAAAAUUAUGAUAUUAGACAAUUUACAACUUAUGUAAAUCAUCAGUCAAAUUUUAAAAUAUGACCAAAUCACAAUAAUCGAGUGACUUCGGUUAUUUUCGGGAGUUAAUCGUAACAGGUUCUAAGAAUUAAAUUUAUUGACAAAAUAGAUAUAUAUAUAUAUAAAUAAAUUUCAAGAUAAAGAAUUAUCUAUUUUUCAUGUUCAUACUUGUUAGUGAUAUCAGUCAGGGCUAAAGUUAGUGAUAUCAAUUAAUCAAAAAAGUUACCGGAAAUCCAAAAGUUUAUGGGAGUCAAUAGUUAAAAUACAGUGUUAAAUUUAGGCGCAGAUGUUAAUCUUUCUUGCAUUUAU